UUUUAUUCCUGAACAUAUACUAAAAUUGGAAGAAUGCAGAGAAGAUCAGUAUAGCCUCUAGGCAAGGAUGACAUGCAAGAUUUCUAAAUAAACUUUUUAUUU
rfam:Dictyocaulus viviparus strain HannoverDv2000 D_viviparus-1.0_Cont62.2, whole genome shotgun sequence.